GACGAACGCUGGCGGCGUGCCUAACACAUGCAAGUCGAACGGAAAGGCCCUGCUUUUGUGGGGUGCUCGAUUGGCGAAGGGGUGAGUAACACGUGAGUAACCUGUCCCUGACUUUGGGAUAACUUCAGGAAACUGGGGCUAUUACCGGAUAGGAUCUCUUGCUGCACGGUGGGCGUUGGUAAGUUUCGGUGGUUGGGGAUGGACUCGCUGCGUAUCAGCUUGAUGGUGGGGUGGUGGCUUACCAAGGCUUUCACGGGUAGGGGGCCUGGGAGGGUGACAGGCGAAAUUGGGACUGCGAUACGACCCAGACUGCAACGGGAGGCAACGGGGGGGAGUAUUACACAGUGGGCGGGAGUCAGAUGCGACAACGCCGCGUGCGGGAUGAGGGCCUUCGGGUUGUAAACCGCUUUCGCAUGAGACGAGGCGAGAGUGACGGUAAUGGGUAAAGAAGCACCGGCUAACUACGUG
rnacentral:rRNA from 1 species